UAAAAGUCGUAACAAGGUUUCUGUAGGUGAACCUGCAGAAGGAUCAUUAGUGAAGAUUUGGGCAGGCCAUACGGACGCCAAAAAGUGUCCCUGGCCGCCUACACCCACUAUACAUCCACAAACCCGUGUGCACUGUCUUGGAGAAAGGCUUCAGAGAAGUUUUUUGUGGCCUCUCUUGGGGUCUUUCUUCGCUACAAAUUCGAAUGGUUAGUAUGAACGUGGAACUUGGUUGGACCGUCACUGGCCAACAAACUAUACACAACUUUCGACAACGGAUCUCUUGGUUCUCCCAUCGAUGAAGAACGCAGCGAAACGCGAUAGGUAAUGUGAAUUGCAGAAUUCCGUGAAUCAUCGAAUCUUUGAACGCACCUUGCGCUCUAUGGCAAUCCGUAGAGCAUGCCUGUUUGAGUGCCAUGAAAUCUCCCACCCCAAGCGGUUUUUAAAUGAAACGGCUUGGCGGAUGGGGUCUGGAUGGGUGCCUCUGCCUGCGCUACCUAGCACAGGCUCGCCCGAAAUGCAUGAGCGCCUUGAGACACUUUGCAUCCGCCUCUCUGUUUGGGAGGAGGCGGCCAAGCAGUGUUUUUCUCCUGGCAUGGCAUGAUACGUCAUUUGCUAUGUCGCCUAAAGGAGGAAUGUUUGGUUGUGUCUGCGUGUGCUUCGAACUUGCCUCUGUGGCACAUCCCAAUUUCACUUCUGGUCUCAAAUCAGGUAGGAUCACCCGCUGAACUUAAGCAUAUCAAUA
rnacentral:rRNA from 1 species